GAGUAUGUGGUUUAAUUCGACGCAACGCGCAGAACCUUACCUAGACUUGACAUCCCGGGGAUUUUCUGGAAACAGAGAAGUGCUUUAGCAAUAAAGAACCCGGUGACAGGUGCUGCAUGGCUGUCGUCAGCUCGUGUCGUGAGAUGUUGGGUUAAGUCCCGCAACGAGCGCAACCCUCGCCUUUAGUUGCCAGCAUUCAGUUGGGCACUCUAGAGGGACUGCCGGUGUCAAACCGGAGGAAGGCGGGAUGACGUCAAGUCCUCAUGGCCUUUAUGUCUAGGGCUACACACGUACUACAAUGGCCGGUACAAAGGGCAGCCACUCAGCGAUGAGGCGCUAAUCCCAUAAAGCCGGUCUCAGUCCGGAUCGCAGUCUGCAACUCGACUGCGUGAAGUUGGAAUCGCUAGUAAUCGUAGAUCAGCAUGCUACGGUGAAUACGUUCCCGGGCCUU
rnacentral:rRNA from 1 species